AAUGGACUGUUUGGCUACUGAUGCUUAAAAAAAUAAUCAGCUAAAUUUAGUCUUCAAAUUUUUCAUUUCAAUUUAUAUGACGUUUUCUAAAAGAAAACUGUACAAAGUUUCGAUUGUGGAACAUCCUACACGGUUUCGUUCUAAAUUUACAAACGAACUUGUCCCAAAUACUGUAUCGGUCUUAACCCUGAAUCUUAAAAAUGAUGUCUCGGCCGUGUCAUUGCUCGGUUCGAUAAAAAUUAAUAACUGCUUACACUUCCACUACCGUUACACGAUGCAAUUGUUCUGUAAUAACAAAAUUGUCGCACGGUUUGUAACGUUUCAGCUUCAGAAACCAGAACGCAAAAUAUAAAAAGCUGAAGAGAGAAGUGUCGGGCGUAGGCAGGGAGAUUACUUAAACAUUUUGCAAUUAGAAAACUUCGUUAAUACUCAAGUUGUGUAAGUACUCGUACUUCUUGUUGCACCGAGUAAUAAUUGAGUUUUUCUCUCGGGUAUCUUUUACUCCUUUUUUCCGAGUCGCUGCUCUUAAAUGGAAUAGAACAAACCAGGAAAACUGCAUAAGUUGCAGGCAACUGUUACGAGUUACGUCAGGACUUGAAGGUCGUGAAAUACAGGCCAAGGAAAUACCCAGUUGGAUUGCGAUUCAAACAAAUAGAAAAGUGAUAUAAUGUAAAUUCCCUCUAUACUUAAUCCAAGGACUCAGCCUAGAGGUGAAACGCCAGACUUGUUUUCCGCUUGGCGAAUUGGUUUCUACAGGAAAACUACUACAUAUUUUAUAUCCUUGCGAGUUAGACCGUAGGUACUUAAAUGUGAUAGAGGUCAUUUUGUUUGAAAAAUAUAUUUAUGUCAAAACCACUCAGGUUCAGGUCAACGGGCACCAUGAUGAAAAAUUAAUUUGAACCUACGCCCCCAGAUGAUCCAAAUCUAUAAUCUAGGAGUAUCACGAAGAAGGUAAGAAACGGUUAAAUGAAUGGCAGGAAUGGACUUCGUGCACACUCCAGCAAUUACCAUUUUACUAAACGAUUGUUACCGGCCAUAAAUUUUCGUUGAGAUUUAGCCAAAAAACAAUCAGCUAUUUUCGUUCGCCCUUGUUUGUGUCUACACGGUCAACCUAUCAUGGUCAAGGCCACGACAACAUAUCGGAUACAAGUAUUUUUGUUUCUACCGAUUAAUCAUCCAACUUAAAUUUCCAUACAGGCUUCCUUUUACCAUUUUUGUCCUGCUUCACGCAACUCUUUGUGUUUGUUAGUCGAUAGAACUAUGCUUACGAUGAGGUCAAUUCCAGCAAACCAGUUGCUGGCGCAAAAGUGAAGCAAAGGAAAAUAGCGCAGAAGACAAGACAAUCGGUUUUCUUUUUCGAACCUGUAGUUUUGUUUCAGCAUGAUUUGCUGAAAAUUACUCAAAACGUCUGUCAAUAGUGUGGUGGUCGAGAACCUACUUUCAGCAGAAAGAAAAAUUACGUUGCAAGUUGCUGUAUUCUUAACACCGCGCAGCUCUAUCGCCUCAUUCUCUCCCACCACCGUUCCACAGACACAGGAUAGUAUAAAUAGAGCAGCAGCCGCAGUUAAAGAAUCCACCACAUCGAGGACCAUGGGCUAACUCUAAGUUAGUUAUAGGAAGCAAGAGAGGCUGUUAGGUUUAAGUUUAGAUCAGGAUAGUUAGGUUAGUCAGAUUAAGUUAUACGAUGACAUAUCUUAAGUUACAUAGAGUGUUAGACACUGUAAUGAUGUUAGAUUUAAGGACUCGUUGGUAAGUAGCAGUAGGAAGUUUGUAAACUUAGCUGAAAAUAAAUAUGUUCAAAUAGUA